rnacentral:rRNA from 1 species
ACUCAAAUGAAUUGACGGGGGCCCGCACAAGCAGCGGAGCGUGUGGUUUAAUUCGACGCAACACGCAGAACCUUACCUAGAUUUGACAUGGACCUGCAUGCUCGUGAAAGCGAGCAGCCUUCGAGGGUGGUCCACCGGUGCUGCAUGGCUGUCGUCAGCUCGUGUCGUGAGAUGUUGGGUUAAGUCCCGCAACGAGCGCAACCCUUGCCUGGUGUUACAAGUGUCACCAGGGACUGCCGUGGUGUUACCACGGAGGAAGGCGGGGAUGACGUCAAGUCCGCAUGGCCCGUACGUCUAGGGCGACACACACGCUACAAUGAUCGGAAGAAUGUGCUGCGACCUGGCAACAGGCAGCGAAUCACGAACACCGGUCUCAGUGCAGAUUGGGGGCUGCAACUCGCCCCCAUGAAGGCGGAGUUGCUAGUAACCGCGUGUCAGCAAAGCGCGGUGAAUACGUACCCGGGCCUUGUACACACCGCCCGU